rnacentral:rRNA from 1 species
CACGUAGGGGGCGAGCGUUGUCCGGAAUUACUGGGCGUAAAGCGCGCGUAGGCGGGCACUUAAGUCAGAUGUGAAACCUCUGGGCUCAACCGAGAGCAUGCAUCUGAUACUGGGUGUCUUGAGUGUAGAAGAGGAGAGUGGAAUUCCUAGUGUAGCGGUGAAAUGCGUAGAUAUUAGGAAGAACACCAGUGGCGAAGGCGACUCUCUGGUCUACAACUGACGCUGAGGCGCGAAAGCGUGGGGAG